GUUUGUCCCCAAGUAAUCUCCUUCACUUUAUAGUCUGGAUUUAUCUUUUCUAACAAGAGACGGAUGAUGUGUUGGAUCAGACAUUCAGCAGUCAGCACCUGUUGACACCUGCUUUUACACCAGGGACACAAGUGAACAAAGCAACCUGAAAUACUUUCAUGUAUGAUGGCACUGUCCGGAGCCUACGGACACUUGAUGACACCACAGGAGACUGAACUAACCCUGAACCCAGCCCCAUCUUGUUUGUGGCAUUUCUGGCUUGUAAGGUGUAGCAGUACAACCCAAAGAAAAGAAUGAUUACUCUCCAAACACCUUGAAGCGGAGGGGCUUGUAUAAAAAUCCAGGCAUAUUUUCUUAGACAGUUUACACUUAUGUAUAUAAUCUCGUUCCCACCUGUGUGUCUUGGUCGUAUAAGAUUACAGUAAUUGUAACUAUAAACUGGGGUUUUCUGUGCAGUCUUGUUCUGAAUAAA